rnacentral:lncRNA from 1 species
UCAUAACUGUUCAGCAGAGAAGAGGGGAAACCAAAUCCUGUGUCCUAAAGCGUGCAAAGAAGCUUCUGGAUCUGUGUUGCAGACAACUGUCUUUGUUUCAUCUACCUAUUAGGAGAAAACUUAGCUGUUUCUCAUCAGAGUACAUCAAAUACAACACUCCUUCUGAAUCAGACAAUUUAUUUAGAAAAACCAAUUCCCGCGUCAUAACUGGAACCUCAGUCUGUGGUCUCUCUGUAAAUCUAAAAUACAUUAAUCCCAGGGAUGAGCAACCAGAGAUUCAGAUGAAUAUGGAGCACUCAUCAGCCCAACUUCCUUGCUUUUUGGUCUUAUUUGGUUUGUCCCGCCUUUUCUUUUUCCUUGUUUUUUGACUUCUAUUGUAUCCCAAAUAUGACCUUUUCUCGUAGCAGAAAGAGAAGUGCUUUUAAAAUAAGUAUUUAUGGGGUUUUUUUUUAAAUAAUCUGCAGAGAAACUCAUUAAUCUAGAAUUCAUGAUUAUAGUUGAACAUUCAGAUUGAUUGAACUUAAACUGACUUUUUUGCUGUUCCAAAAGAACUUUUCUUAUGAUUUAUUUCAACAAAACUCUUUGUCACCUUUCUUCUUGUGCCAAGUCAGUAGUCCAGGAAAGCUUGUGUUUUCUGCUGCCUUGGGUGACAGGAUUUGUAGCCACAUAUAUAAAUUUAAUCCAGCAAUAGGUUUUUAUCUGUGGUGUUAGUCGCACCAUCAUUCAUCUUAUGAUCACCUAUUACAAAAAAAAAACUGAUUAAGCUGCAAGAUAUAACACUUAAUACUUAAAUAUGGA